rnacentral:rRNA from 1 species
GGUUAAGUUAAUAAGGGCGCACGGAGGAUGCCUAGGCACUAGGAGCCGAAGAAGGACGCAACUAACGGCGAAACGCAUCAGGGAGCUGUAAGUAAGCAGAUCUGGUGAUAUCCGAAUGGGGAAACCCUAUAGGAGUAAUAUCCUAUAACCGCUACCUGAAAAGAUAGGGUAGCAGGAGGCAUACCCAGGGAACUGAAACAUCUAAGUACCUGGAGGAAAAGAAAGAAAAAUCGAUUUCCUAAGUAGCGGCGAGCGAAAGGGAAAGAGCCCAAACCAUGGCAACAUGGGGUAAUAGGACCACAAAAACAGGAUUAAUGUAGUAUAGACGAAUGACGUGGGAAAGUCAACCAAAGAAGGUGAGAGUCCUGUAGUUGAAAUACUAGAUUAGACUAAGUGGGAUCCUGAGUACGGCCGGACACGAGGAAUCCGGUCGGAAAUCGCGAGGACCAUCUCGUAAGGCUAAAUACUACCUAGUGACCGAUAGUGAACCAGUACCGUGAGGGAAAGGUGAAAAGAACCCCGGGAGGGGAGUGAAAUAGAACCUGAAACCGUGUGCCUACAAAUAGUCAGAGCCCGUUAAAGGGUGAUGGCGUGCCUUUUGUAGAAUGAACCGGCGAGUUACGAUAUAGUGCAAGGUUAAGGGAAGAACCCGGAGCCGAAGCGAAAGCGAGUCUUAAUAGGGCGAAUAGUAUUAUGUCGUAGACCCGAAACCGAGUGAGCUAGCCAUGUGCAGGGUGAAGGUUGGGUAAAACCAACUGGAGGCCCGAACCGUAGUCUGUUGAAAAAGGCCCGGAUGACAUGUGGCUAGGGGUGAAAUUCCAAUCGAACUCGGAUAUAGCUGGUUCUCCCCGAAAUAGCUUUAGGGCUAGCCUCGUUAAAGAGCUUACUGGAGGUAGAGCACUGAAUAUACGAUGGCCUCACCUCGAGGUACUGAAUGUAAUCAAACUCCGAAUGCCAGAUAAGUAUAAACGGGAGUCAGACUGUGGGUGAUAAGGUCCAUGGUCAAAAGGGAAACAGCCCAGACCGCCAGUUAAGGUCCCAAAAUAAACGUUAAGUGGAAAAGGAUGUGGAGACACAUAGACAACUAGGAUGUUGGCUUAGAAGCAGCCACCAUUCAAAGAGUGCGUAAUAGCUCACUAGUCGAGUGACUCUGCGCCGAAAAUGUACCGGGGCUAAACGUUUUACCGAAACUGCGGAUCCAAUGGGAUGGUAGGGGAGCGUUCUAACAACGGAGAAGCUAGAUCGUGAGGACUAGUGGAGAUGUUAGAAGUGAGAAUGCCGGUGUAAGUAGCGAGAAGAUAGGUGAGAAUCCUAUCCGUCGAAAGCCUAAGGUUUCCAGAGGAAGGCUCGUCCGCUCUGGGUAAGUCGGGACCUAAGGUGAGGCCGAAAGGCGUAGCCGAUGGACAACUGGUAGAGAUUCCAGUACCACCAUAAUAACUGAUGGAGUGACGGAGAAGGCUAAGGUGAGCCCACGGAUGGAAGAGUGGGUCUAAACAGUAAGACAGUAUAGAAGGCAAAUCCGCUAUACGCUAAUGUCAAGCUGUGAAAGAUAGCAGAAUGAUGUGAAGCACCUGAUGUCAAGCUUCCGAGAAAAACUUCUAGGGUUAAUUAUUAUGGUGCCCGUACCGUAAACCGACACAGGUAGGCGAGGAGAGAAUCCUAAGACGCGCGAGAGAACCAUCGUUAAGGAACUCGGCAAAAUGACCCCGUAACUUAGGGAGAAGGGGUGCUUGUGUAAAAGCAAGCCGCAGUGAAAAGGCCCAAGCGACUGUUUAACAAAAACAUAGGUCUCUGCUAAACCGAAAGGUGAAGUAUAGGGGCUGACGCCUGCCCGGUGCUGGAAGGUUAAGGGGAAAUGUUAGGAAACGAAGCAUCGAACUGAAGCCCCAGUAAACGGCGGCCGUAACUAUAACGGUCCUAAGGUAGCGAAAUUCCUUGUCAGGUAAGUUCUGACCCGCACGAAAGGCGUAACGAUUUGGGCACUGUCUCAACGGUGGACUCGGUGAAAUCAUAGUACCUGUGAAGAUGCAGGUUACCCGCGACAGGACGGAAAGACCCCGUGGAGCUUUACUGUAACUUGAUAUUGAGUUUCGGUGUAACAUGUACAGGAUAGGUAGGAGACUGUGAAUCCAGGACGCUAGUCUUGGAGGAGUCGACGUUGGGAUACUACCCUUGUUGCACUGAAAUUCUAACCUACAUCCAUAAUCGGGAUGGGGGACAGUGUCAGGCUGGCAGUUUGACUGGGGCGGUCGCCUCCUAAAGAGUAACGGAGGCGCCCAAAGGUUCCCUCAGAAUGGUUGGAAAUCAUUUGAAGAGUGCAAAGGCAUAAGGGAGCUUGACUGUGAGACAUACAGGUCGAACAGGGACGAAAGUCGGGCUUAGUGAUCCGGCGGUGCCGAAUGGAAGGGCCGUCGCUCAACGGAUAAAAGCUACCCCGGGGAUAACAGGCUGAUCACAUCCAAGAGUUCACAUCGACGAUGUGGUUUGGCACCUCGAUGUCGGCUCAUCGCAUCCUGGGGCUGAAGUCGGUCCCAAGGGUUGGGCUGUUCGCCCAUUAAAGCGGUACGCGAGCUGGGUUCAGAACGUCGUGAGACAGUUCGGUCCCUAUCCGUCGUGGGCGUAGGAAAUUUGAGAGGAGCUGUCCUUAGUACGAGAGGACCGGGAUGGACAUACCGAUGGUGUACCAGUUGUUCCGCCAGGAGCAUAGCUGGGUAGCUAAGUAUGGAAGGGAUAAACGCUGAAAGCAUCUAAGCGUGAAGCCCCCUCAAGAUGAGAUUUCCCAUUCUUUUAAGAAGUAAGAACCCUUGAAGACUACAAGGUUGAUAGGUCAGAAGUGUAAGUGUGGUAACACAUGUAGCUGACUGAUACUAAUAGUUCGAGGACUUAACCUA